AAAAGGCGAUCUGCUCAUUAGUCGCGGGGCGAUACCAAACCCCCGCUAACACUUCGCCUAAG
rnacentral:sRNA from 1 species